GACGAACGCUGGCGGCGUGCCUAAUACAUGCAAGUAGAACGCACAGUUUAUACCGUAGCUUGCUACACCAUAGACUGUGAGUUGCGAACGGGUGAGUAACGCGUAGGUAACCUGCCUGGUAGCGGGGGAUAACUAUUGGAAACGAUAGCUAAUACCGCAUAAUAUUAAUUAUUGCAUGAUAAUUAAUUGAAAGGUGCAAUUGCACCACUACCAGAUGGACCUGCGUUGUAUUAGCUAGUAGGUGAGGUAACGGCUCACCUAGGCGACGAUACAUAGCCGACCUGAGAGGGUGAUCGGCCACACUGGGACUGAGACACGGCCCAGACUCCUACGGGAGGCAGCAGUAGGGAAUCUUCGGCAAUGGACGAAAGUCUGGCCGAGCAACGCCGCGUGAGUGAAGAAGGUUUUCGGAUCGUAAAGCUCUGUUGUAAGAGAAGAACGGGCGUGAGAGUGGAAAGUUCACACUGUGACGGUAUCUUACCAGAAAGGGACGGCUAACUACGUG
rnacentral:rRNA from 1 species